CACAUGCAGUCGAACGGUGAAGCCCAGCUUGCUGGUGGAUCAGUGGCGAACGGGUGAGUAACACGUGAGCAACCUGCCCCUGACUCUGGGAUAAGCGCUGGAAACGGCGUCUAAUACUGGAUACGAGACGUGAUCGCAUGGUCAACGUUU
rnacentral:rRNA from 1 species